rnacentral:lncRNA from 1 species
UUUGCAGCUCCGCUCUCGCUUUCACGGUUUUUUGGAUGUAGUUUGUUGAUGUGCCUUUGCAGGCUUGAAUUUCGCUUGAACUUAGCCUUACAGUAGCCGCAACAAAACGGCUUUUCAUCUGUAUGUGUCAUAAGAUGCUGUGUGAGGUGGCCCUUCUGAGCAAAUUUAUGGUGGCACACCUCGCACGUAUAAGGCUUUUCACCGGUGUGAGUGCGGUAAUGCAUUUCAGCUCACAUAGACAUG